AUUGAACGCUGGCGGCAGGCCUAACACAUGCAAGUCGAGCGGAUGAAGGGAGCUUGCUCCUGGAUUCAGCGGCGGACGGGUGAGUAAUGCCUAGGAAUCUGCCUGGUAGUGGGGGAUAACGUCCGGAAACGGGCGCUAAUACCGCAUACGUCCUGAGGGAGAAAGUGGGGGAUCUUCGGACCUCACGCUAUCAGAUGAGCCUAGGUCGGAUUAGCUAGUUGGUGGGGUAAAGGCCUACCAAGGCGACGAUCCGUAACUGGUCUGAGAGGAUGAUCAGUCACACUGGAACUGAGACACGGUCCAGACUCCUACGGGAGGCAGCAGUGGGGAAUAUUGGACAAAGGGCGAAAGCCUGAUCCAGCCAUGCCGCGUGUGUGAAGAAGGUCUUCGCAUUGUAAAGCACUUUAAGUUGGGAGGAAGGGCAGUAAGUUAAUACCUUGCUGUUUUGACGUUACCAACAGAAUAAGCACCGGCUAACUUCGUG
rnacentral:rRNA from 1 species